rnacentral:lncRNA from 1 species
UAUUAUAUCUGGCGAAGGGAGACUCGACCUUCCUUUUCUUCUCAAGAGCUGCCUCGCGCUGCUUCGCCCGCAUCAGUCGCCGCAGCUCCUCCUGCCCCACUGGGGCCGUUCCUGGCCGCCGCUUCGCGGCCGAACUCGACGCCGCCAUUCUAGGCAAAGGGACUCAUGCAGCCCACGUCCCUUCCCCAGUUCCCUGUUCGUCCGCUGGAGCAGGACAGGACCACGGGAACUACNCCAUAGCGCUACGGCCGCGGAGAUUCUGCGGCAGCAAACUGCGCCGCUGCUGCAGCCCCCGACAACCGGAAACAGGAAGUAGAGGAGGGAGACACUUCCAAGUCCGUUCCGAUCUAGUGCCGUCCUUCCCACCACGCCAGAGAAAGAGCUUACGAAAAGGAAAUGACGAAAUGCACGCGAAUGGUUUGCAGCGAAACUGGAUGUUGGAUGGAGAGAAGCUAGGCUUCUAGUAUUGCAAAAGCGGGAGAGUCACCCUCUUUCUCCUCCUCCUCCUCAUCCCGCGGUGCAACUUUCUCUUUGCCAAUGUAUAGACUCUUGGUUGAAACUUCGGGAAGGUUUUUGGGUGUUUUUUUUAACCACACUCUGGUUUUAUAGGCCGUUUCUGCACUUGGCUUUAUUGUGGAUAAUAUCCCUGAAUAGGGACCUGCCAUCCACAUCCUAGUGCAAAGUAUGAAAGGUCUUACCCAGGGCCUACCACAGUCUGCAAUAACCUGCAGAUGGCAGGUCCCUUUUCUGAGAUAUAAUCCAGAAUAAGGCCCAGUGCAGAAAGGGCCAUAUAUUUAUGCCAAUACGCCCAAAAUUACUCACGAAAACGAUCGCACCAAACCAGGAGCCAAAUUUUAAAUUAUUUUUUUGGAUCAAGGAGUUCUACUGUAGUUCAUAAAAGAAACUUCAACAAAUUCUGCCUGAAACAUCUAAAGCCUGUUUGCACGCAGAAGUAUUCCUNGAUUAAUAUGCAUUUCCGAAGUCGUAGUGCCGGUUCCUGUCGCCCGGAUAGCCUAAAGGGAAAGAAUUUACUCAGCUAAUGGGAAAAGUUAGCACCUCUCCCUCAGAUGCUCCCGCAGCUGCAAGACACUUAAAGGAUCAGGCUGAUUUACCAACCUAAAUAGGCAAGAAAAGCCAGCACUAAACCACUCAAAUUCAACCCCAGUCAAGCGAAAAGUUCCUAACCCUUUAAAAAUUACCAAGCAGCGUCGGAGCAUUCUAUAGUCUGCUACAAAGUAGCUAACACUGCUUGAGUGACAGAAUAAUUACAGACUCUGUACUUCCAUCUNUGCAAAGAGCUGUUUUACUGCUGGGCUUCUGCUUUUUUAAUNGAUUCCAAUGGUGGAUCCUUCUUAUCCUUAUGUAUUGGAAACUCCAGACAGUUUGGCUCCCCUCCUGUAGGAACUCAUACCAGCCAGCUGCAUCGUUAAACUACCUCGUUCAUUAACGACCCCAAAGCUGUAAGAACUGGUAGUUCUAAAGCAAUCUGCUGUGUAUUAUGAGGAACCUAAAUUGUGCUACAAUUUAAAAUUGNAGGAAUGACAAAAGCACAUAACUUUAUUGAAUGUCUCCAGAUUCAUAAGCCACAGGGCAAUUAUGAAACGGUACAAGGAGAUUUGCCUCAAUAAAAGCUGUGGAAACCAGGAAGUCUUUUGCUUU